rnacentral:rRNA from 1 species
UACGAAGGGGGCUAGCGUUGCUCGGAAUGACUGGGCGUAAAGGGCGCGUAGGCGGUUUGGACAGUCAGAUGUGAAAUUCCUGGGCUCAACCUGGGGGCUGCAUUUGAUACGUUCGGACUAGAGUGGGGAAGAGGGUCGUGGAAUUCCCAGUGUAGAGGUGAAAAUUCGUAGAUAUUGGGAAGAACACCGGUGGCGAAGGCGGCGACCUGGUCCUUGACUGACGCUGAGGCGCGAAAGCGUGGGGAGCAAACAGG